UAGUAGUCAUACGCUCGUCUCAAAGAUUAAGCCAUGCAUGUGUAAGUAUAAAUAGUUAACUUUGAAACUGCGAAUGGCUCAUUAUAUCAGUUAUAGUUUAUUUGAUGAAGAAUACUAAUUGGAUAACCGUAGUAAUUCUAGAGCUAAUACAUGUAUAAAGUCUUGUAGACUGCAUUUAUUAGAAUGAAAACCAUAGGUUUCGGCCUAUUCGUGAGUAAUAAUAACUAAUCAUAUCGUAUGCUUAUGUAACGAUGUGUCUUUCAAGUUUCUGCCCUAUCAGCUUUCGAUGGUAGUGUAUUGGACUACCAUGGCAGUAACGGGUAACGAAGAA
rnacentral:rRNA from 2 species